ACUCCUGCGGGAGGCAGCAGUGGGGAAUUUUGGACAAUGGGCGAAAGCCUGAUCCAGCAAUGCCGCGUGAGUGAAGAAGGCCUUCGGGUUGUAAAGCUCUUUUGUCAGGGAAGAAACGGUGAGAGCUAAUAUCUCUUGCUAAUGACGGUACCUGAAGAAUAAGCACCGGCUAACUACGUGCCAGCAGCCGCGGUAAUACGUAGGGUGCAAGCGUUAAUCGGAAUUACUGGGCGUAAAGCGUGCGCAGGCGGUUUUGUAAGUCUGAUGUGAAAUCCCCGGGCUCAACCUGGGAAUUGCAUUGGAGACUGCAAGGCUAGAAUCUGGCAGAGGGGGGUAGAAUUCCACGUGUAGCAGUGAAAUGCGUAGAUAUGUGGAGGAACACCGAUGGCGAAGGCAGCCCCCUGGGUCAAGAUUGACGCUCAUGCACGAAAGCGUGGGGAGCAAACAGGAUUAGAUACCCCGGUAGUCCCAUG
rnacentral:rRNA from 1 species